CAGGCGUCGAGCGGCGGACGGGUGAGUAAUGCAUAGGAAUCUGCCCGGUAGUGGGGGAUAACCUGGGGAAACCCAGGCUAAUACCGCAUACGUCCUACGGGAGAAAGCAGGGGAUCUUCGGACCUUGCGCUAUCGGAUGAGCCUAUGUCGGAUUAGCUUGUUGGUGAGGUAAUGGCUCACCAAGGCGACGAUCCGUAGCUGGUCUGAGAGGAUGAUCAGCCACAUCGGGACUGAGACACGGCCCGAACUCCUACGGGAGGCAGCAGUGGGGAAUAUUGGACAAUGGGCGAAAGCCUGAUCCAGCCAUGCCGCGUGUGUGAAGAAGGCUUUCGGGUUGUAAAGCACUUUCAGUGAGGAAGAAGGCCUUGGGGCUAAUACCCCCGAGGAAGGACAUCACUCACAGAAGAAGCACCGGCUAACUCCGUGCCAGCAGCCGCGGUAAUACGGAGGGUGCGAGCGUUAAUCGGAAUUACUGGGCGUAAAGCGCGCGUAGGCGGCGUGAUAAGCCGGUUGUGAAAGCCCCGGGCUCAACCUGGGAACGGCAUCCGGAACUGUCAGGCUAGAGUGCAGGAGAGGAAGGUAGAAUUCCCGGUGUAGCGGUGAAAUGCGUAGAGAUCGGGAGGAAUACCAGUGGCGAAGGCGGCCUUCUGGACUGACACUGACGCUGAGGUGCGAAAGCGUGGGUAGCAAACAGGAUUAGAUACCCUGGUAGUCCACGCCGUAAACGAUGUCGACUAGCCGUUGGGGUCCUAGAGACCUUUGUGGCGCAGUUAACGCGAUAAGUCGACCGCCUGGGGAGUACGGCCGCAAGGUUAAAACUCAAAUGAAUUGACGGGGGCCCGCACAAGCGGUGGAGCAUGUGGUUUAAUUCGAUGCAACGCGAAGAACCUUACCUACCCUUGACAUCGUGCGAACUUUCCAGAGAUGGAUUGGUGCCUUCGGGAACGCACAGACAGGUGCUGCAUGGCUGUCGUCAGCUCGUGUUGUGAAAUGUUGGGUUAAGUCCCGUAACGAGCGCAACCCUUGUCCCUAUUUGCCAGCGAUUCGGUCGGGAACUCUAGGGAGACUGCCGGUGACAAACCGGAGGAAGGUGGGGACGACGUCAAGUCAUCAUGGCCCUUACGGGUAGGGCUACACACGUGCUACAAUGGCCGGUACAAAGGGUUGCAAAGCCGCGAGGUGGAGCUAAUCCCGAAAAGCCGGUCUCAGUCCGGAUCGGAGUCUGCAACUCGACUCCGUGAAGUCGGAAUCGCUAGUAAUCGUGAAUCAGAAUGUCACGGUGAAUACGUUCCCGGGCCUUGUACACACCGCCCGUCACACCAUGGGAGUGGACUGC
rnacentral:rRNA from 1 species